AUGGUUCUUAAACUUGUAAAUUUCAUAUUUGUAGCCGCAUUGUCCUAUUUUCUUUUUGUUGAUAUGCAUAUCAAAUUGAAAGACUUAUAGAACAUUACAUAUUUAUUUCAUCAGACAGUUGAGAAUCCGAUAGAAUAUGUCUCGCAAACCGGAAAACAAACGUUAAGUCCGGAAAUUAAAACCCAAGAAAGAAGAAAAAAGCAGAAAAACAAGGGAUAAAAUCAAAGAUGGGGGAUAAAGUUUUGAGGUUUACACAAAAGCAAAGGGAAAUUAACCGGUGAAGCUUGGUGGCUUGUAGGCAAUGAAACUGAUGCACUGGACUUGACGGGUGUUGUCGAAUCCGAUGAUCCUAAUGAAGGCAUUGGGGUACUCCUUCUUGCACUCUUCCACUUCCUUCAACACUUGAGCGGAGUCGGUGCAACCGAACAAGGGAAGCUUCCACAUUGUCCAGUACCGUCCAUCAUAGUAUCCGGGUGAGUUACCGUGCUCACGGUACACAAAUCCGUGCUAUACAAACCACAUGUUACAAACCACUCAGAUAACAUUUUGAACA
rnacentral:sRNA from 1 species